GCAGGGUUGAACUUGAUAUGUUAUUACUAUAUGUAACUGAGACAAUUGAAGAAGUUGUAAAGCUCUUGGGAAAAAUUAAUGCUAAUACAACUGAGGGAUGCAGUCCAAUUUGUGUUGAGGAGCACUUAACAGCUCUAAAUUUUAGGUGCAUUGAACGAAUUUAUGGUC